GGGGAUAUAGCUCAGUUGGUAGAGUGCUUGCCUUGCAUGCACAAAGCCCUGGGUUCAACCCCCAGCACCA
rnacentral:tRNA from 1 species